CGGGAAGUAGCUCAGCUUGGUAGAGCACUUGGUUUGGGACCAAGGGGUCGCAGGUUCGAAUUCUGUCUUCCCGA
rnacentral:tRNA from 1 species